rnacentral:rRNA from 1 species
UCGAUAACGAACGAGACCUCGACCUGCUAAAUAGUUCGACAAAGGAUUCUUUCUUUGGACGUGACUUCUUAGAGGGACUAUCGGUGUGUAGCCGACGGAAGUUCGAGGCAAUAACAGGUCUGUGAUGCCCUUAGAUGUUCCGGGCCGCACGCGCGCUACACUGAUGCAUUCAUCAAGUUUACAACCUUGAUCGGAAGACCUGGGUAAUCUUUUUAACAACCAUCGUGCUGGGGAUAGAUUAUUGUAAUUAUUAAUCUUCAACGAGGAAUUCCUAGUAAACGCAAGUCAUCAACUUGCAUUGAUUACGUCCCUGCCCUUUGUACACACCGCCCGUCGCUAAUGCCGAUUGAAUGGGUG